rnacentral:rRNA from 1 species
UACGGAGGAUGCAAGCGUUAUCCGGAUUUACUGGGCGUAAAGCGCGUGUAGGUGGUUCUGUAAGUAGGGCGUGAAAGCUCCCGGCUCAACUGGGAGAGGCCGUUCUAAACUGCAGAGCUAGAGGAUGGUAGAGGGAGGUGGAAUUCCAGGUGUAGCGGUGGAAUGCGCAGAUAUCUGGAGGAACACCAGUGGCGAAGGCGGCCUCCUGGACCAUUCCUGACACUCAGACGCGAAAGCUAGGGUAGCAAACGGGAUUAGAUACCCGCGUA